CCUACCCCUAGAGGCAUUGCAGGUGUGGCUGCUGUGUACCGUGUGCGUCAUUAGGUGGCAGAGGGAAAAGAGGCUAUGUCUAUGCUCUGUGUUCUGACCUGUGAACAUCUGAAUGCUGAGUAACCUAAGAUU